ensembl:lncRNA
CAAAAAGACUGACUCCUCCUGCCAUUGCCCUGCGCUCCAAGUCAAUGACAUCAGAGCUGGAAGAUAUGGUGGACAAAGGUGGGAGAAUCACAGAUUUGUGUGCUCUCAUGAUCAUUUCUGUCCCCAUCAACAUCCCUAUCAUCACAUCAGCAUUCACACCAUCACAUGUGUCUGAGUAUGUAUUUCAUCUCUUCAUCUGCUUUACACACUUCGCAGAAGUUCUAGUCACACCUAAUUUCUCUUUCCCCAAUUACGCGUGCAACAGCUGCCUCUCCGUGGAAAAAGAAAGCAGGUGAGUAUCAGUGUUAUCAUCACCCCUAUCAGCCUCUGAGCUUUAAUUAAAAAUCAGUCAG